UAACACAUGCAGUCGAACGGUAGCACAGAAGAGCUUGCUCUUCGGGUGACGAGUGGCGGACGGGUGAGUAAUGUCUGGGGAUCUGCCCGAUAGAGGGGGAUAACCACUGGAAACGGUGGCUAAUACCGCAUAACGUCGCAAGACCAAAGAGGGGGACCUUCGGGCCUCUCACUAUCGGAUGAACCCAGAUGGGAUUAGCUAGUAGGUGGGGUAACGGCUCACCUAGGCGACGAUCCCUAGCUGGUCUGAGAGGAUGACCAGCCACACUGGAACUGAGACACGGUCCAGACUCCUACGGGAGGCAGCAGUGGGGAAUAUUGCACAAUGGGCGCAAGCCUGAUGCAGCCAUGCCGCGUGUAUGAAGAAGGCCUUCGGGUUGUAAAGUACUUUCAGCGGGGAGGAAGGGGGCGAGGUUAAUAACCUCGUUCAUUGACGUUACCCGCAGAAGAAGCACCGGCUAACUCCGUGCCAGCAGCCGCGGUAAU
rnacentral:rRNA from 1 species